rnacentral:rRNA from 1 species
UACAGAGGGUGCAAGCGUUAAUCGGAAUUACUGGGCGUAAAGCGCGCGUAGGUGGUUUGUUAAGUUGGAUGUGAAAUCCCCGGGCUCAACCUGGGAACUGCAUCCAAAACUGGCAAGCUAGAGUAUGGUAGAGGGUGGUGGAAUUCCUGGUGUAGCGGUGAAAUGCGCAGAUAUCAGGAGGAACACCGAUGGCGAAGGCAGCCUUCUGGGCCAACACUGACGCUCAUGCACGAAAGCGUGGGGAGCAAACAGGA